UACGUAGGGGGCAAGCGUUGUCCGGAGUUAUUGGGCGUAAAGCGCACGCAGGCGGUUUCGUACGUCCGGAGUGACAGUUCCCGGCUCAACUGGGAAAGGUCUUCGGAAACGGCGAGACUUGAGGGCUUCAGAGGGACACGGAAUUCCGGGUGGAGUGGUGAAAUGCGUAGAGAUCCGGAGGAACACCAAUGGCGAAGGCAGUGUCCUGGGAAGCAUCUGACGCUCAGGUGCGAAAGCUAGGGGAG
rnacentral:rRNA from 1 species